rnacentral:rRNA from 1 species
UACGUAGGGUGCGAGCGUUAGUCGGAAUUACUGGGCGUAAAGCGUGCGCAGGCGGUUGUGCAAGACAGAUGUGAAAUCCCCGGGCUUAACCUGGGAACUGCAUUUGUGACUGCACGGCUAGAGUGUGUCAGAGGGGGGUAGAAUUCCACGUGUAGCAGUGAAAUGCGUAGAUAUGUGGAGGAAUACCGAUGGCGAAGGCAGCCCCCUGGGAUAACACUGACGCUCAUGCACGAAAGCGUGGGGAGCAAACAGG